CAGAUUUUAAACACACGAAAGUUUCAGAUUUUCAUUAGAUUGGAUAAUUUGUGAUUUGGGUCUGUCAAUUUCCAAACCGAAUGCAAGAGUUAUCUACUGUUGAUAGUUUUGCGGAGAUAAAUGAAAGCUUAGCCGAGAUGGGGUUUUACUACAUCCAAUAUCACGCCCAAAAUGCAGUACCAAAUGUUCUUAAUCUCAGCAUCAACAUUUUGGAGAAGUCCCGUCAAACAUUCUUGCAUACCGAAGACUUGGAAGAUUCUAUAUCCAUGGUGAAAUCAAUGAAAAAGUGUGGUUCAUCUAUCAUCUAUAUCUGUUGUUAGAUAUCUAUGAUGGUUGUGAAACAUUUUUAUAUUGUUUUGGUACUCGUUUGAUGUU